rnacentral:rRNA from 1 species
AGAGUUUGAUCAUGGCUCAGGACGAACGCUGGCGGCGUGCUUAACACAUGCAAGUCGAACGGAAAGGCCCUUCGGGGUACUCGAGUGGCGAACGGGUGAGUAACACGUGGGUGAUCUGCCCUGCACUUUGGGAUAAGCCUGGGAAACUGGGUCUAAUACCGAAUACACCUCAUUGACUGCAUGGUUGGUGGGGGAAAGCUUUUGCGGUGUGGGAUGGGCCCGCGGCCUAUCAGCUUGUUGGUGAGGUUACGGCUCACCAAGGCGACGACGGGUAGCCGGCCUGAGAGGGUGACCGGCCACACUGGGACUGAGAUACGGCCCAGACUCCUACGGGAGGCAGCAGUGGGGAAUAUUGCACAAUGGGCGCAAGCCUGAUGCAGCGACGCCGCGUGGGGGAUGACGGCCUUCGGGUUGUAAACUCCUUUCAGCACAGACGAAGCGCAAGUGACGGUAUGUGCAGAAGAAGGACCGGCCAACUACGUGCCAGCAGCCGCGGUAAUACGUAGGGUCCGAGCGUUGUCCGGAAUUACUGGGCGUAAAGAGCUCGUAGGUGGUUUGUCGCGUUGUUCGUGAAAACUCACAGCUUAACUGUGGGCGUGCGGGCGAUACGGGCAGACUUGAGUACUGCAGGGGAGACUGGAAUUCCUGGUGUAGCGGUGGAAUGCGCAGAUAUCAGGAGGAACACCGGUGGCGAAGGCGGGUCUCUGGGCAGUAACUGACGCUGAGGAGCGAAAGCGUGGGGAGCGAACAGGAUUAGAUACCCUGGUAGUCC